AAGUCGUAACAAGGUUUCCGUAGGUGAACCUGCGGAAGGAUCAUUAAAAAAUGAGGUAUGAAAUUGUAGCGAGCAUGCGAAAGCGAUUGCCUGUGGCCAGCGUGUCGCAGCAGUCCGAGUAGUGGCAAGCGAAAAUUAUAACCGAUUGAAUCACUCUGUGCGGUGGAUCAUUCGGCUCGUGG
rnacentral:misc_RNA from 1 species